rnacentral:rRNA from 1 species
GAGACCCGCAUCCCCCGUUGCUAUUGGCCUUGAGUCAAGCACACUGGGGAUACCGCCGUCGAUAAGACGGAGGAAGGAGCGGGCCACGGCAGGUCAGUAUGCCCCGAAUCUCCCGGGCCACACGCGAGCUGCAAUGGCAGGUACAAUGGGCUCCGACCUCGAAAGGGGGAGGCAAUCCCGAAAACCUGCCGUAGUUGGGAUCGAGGGUUGUAACUCACCCUCGUGAGCAUGGAAUCCCUAGUAAUCGCGUGUCAUUAUCGCGCGGUGAAUAC